rnacentral:tRNA from 1 species
GGCGCUAUAGUAAAAUGGUAAAAAGUAGGUCUGCAAAACCUUGAGUGCGGGUUCGAAUCCCGUUAGUGCGCUCCA